AUUGAACGCUGGCGGCAUGCCUUACACAUGCAAGUCGAACGGCAGCACGGGUGCUUGCACCUGGUGGCGAGUGGCGAAGGGGUGAGUAAUACAUCGGAACAAGUCCUGUAGUGGGGGAUAGCCCGGCGAAAGCCGGAUUAAUACCGCAGACGAUCUACGGAUGAAAGCGGGGGACCUUCUGGCCGCGCGCUAUGCGGUUGGCCGAUAGCUGAUUAGCUAGUUGGUGGGGUAAAGGCCUACCAAGGCGACGAUCAGUAGCUGGUCUGAGAGGACGACCAGCCACACUGGAACUGAGACACGGCCCAGACUCCUACGGGAGGCAGCAGUGGGGAAUUUUGGACAAUGGGCGAAAGCCUGAUGCAGCAAUGCCGCGUGUGUGAAGAAGGUCUUCGGGUCGUAAAGCACUGUUGUUAGGAAAGAACAACUUUGUUAUAAUCCAGGCGCGGGUUGACGGUACCGGAAGAAUAAGCACCGGCUAACUACGUG
rnacentral:rRNA from 1 species